ACAAAGUUUCGUCAAAAUUAUUUUCACAACAUAUAUUAAAAUAUGUUAAGAUCUUCCAAAAUUUUUAACUGCAUUUAAGAAGGGAACCGCAAUCAUCACUACUCAGCUGAGACCAUCUGAACGGAUAGAAAUAUUUUAACAGUCAAAAUUUUUUAAGUAUUCGUCGUAGAAACACAAUUUUAUUUAAGCUCCAUAUGGCUCAAGCGAACCUUGAGAAUCUUUGCACAGCUUUAUGUGCGACAGAAGACCCGGUGCCUGCUUAUCCACUGAUAGCGCGCACAUUAAAAAAGAAUUCACCGCCAGCCUGCGACGCCUUCGGACCAUUUCCAGAUGAGACCAUUGUGUCGGGUAUCGAUCGUGCGCUCUAUCUUAUGGGCGCACGGCGCGUACAGGAGUUUCUGCACCUACCCACACCAUCGCUGGACUCGAGUAAUAGCGACAUUUCGCUUACCGUAUCGCAAGUGUCUUGCCCGAAUUCACAUAAACCGUGUCGUAAAUGUAGCACGGUCAUAACAUCGGAUACCAAGGACAAAAAUAAAUUACCAAGCUGCUUGAAAGUGACCAAAACAUGCACUUGUCCCAAAUGUCGGGCCAGCACAGCACAAACGAUGACCUUCUCUAAAAAGCCCUGCUGUUGUUGUGGUAGUUCGUCAGCACGCUCGUCUAAAAGUAGCUUAGCAUCGCAUGUACAAAUCUGUGAACCACCCAAGUCAGUGAAUCCGCUGAAACGUUCAUUUUCGAUGUGCUCACUGGCCUGCCGAAAGUUAAAGCAAAUGUUGACCUUUCCAUCAAGCGAUGGCCAGAAUUCAAAAUGGUUGUGGGCACGAAUACAUUCCACAGAGAACGGCUGUCAAGUCUAUGAGAUAUUCAAAAACUCCAAUGUGUGCACACAUCCGUCGGAGUUUGAGAAGCAACGGAUGCCACAAGUCAUCUUCGUCGUAUUGCAAAAUGGCGCUAUAAUGCCCUUCGAAAUCUUGCCCUCACACUAAGGAAGAAAGCGAGGAGAAGAGAGAAAGAAAGAGUGCGAGRGAAACGGUGGAUUUUUAUAUCUCCACUAUAUAUGUAUACAUGAGUAUUUCGAAAGUUAAACGUGUAUUUGGUGGCUUUUGAUACCUUAAGUAUGAGAUCAUAUGAGUAUAUCUGCCUAGAUU